UAGUUAACUCUCAAUGCUGCUCUAUAUUGAGUGAGACAGCCUAUUCUCCUACUAUUCUUCAUGUAAGGCGUCUGCCACAAUCAAUGUAUUAUAAUCAUUAGUUCGUAGGCUUACACAAUUAUUAUAAUUAGUAACAUUUAUGUAACAUAUAUUAGUAACAUGUCCUGUUGAAACCUUGCUUACCCAAUCAUUCUUGAAAUAUUUUGGCCUCACUGUGGAGAGCCAUUUGAUGUACAGUUUAAUCUGUUGACUGAAGAUGGUCUCAACAGUGAAAUAAAAAUAUUUCUGGAAUUUAAUUUCCAGCUUGUAGAUUCAGGAGUUCCACCAUUUGCAUAUGAUUGGGACAUUUCUAAACACCUUUUAUUGGCUGAUAAAAAAAUAUCAGAGACAUUAAAAUCACCAAGAAGAGAACUUAAUCAAUUCAUCAUUAAUUAUAUGUCUGACUUUUUACAAGAACUAUGGGAUUUGUACAAAAAAGUUGCUAUGCAACGUGGUGCAGUGUUUGAAUCAACCAAACAUCUCGUAGAAGUACAAGGUCCAGUUUUUUUUAAUGAGACAUUCAACUAUGAAAAUUUGCAAGAAGGAUUUGGAUGGUCUAAUAGAACACUUAGCACAUUUAAAAAGCUUGUAAGUGACACAAGGAAUGUAUGGGAAAACAUAAAUAAACACUUUUAUAGUUAUAAAUUUUAAGACACACUUUUUAAUGCCUUAAAAUGCUAAACAACAUUUAAUUUUUGUCUUUUUUCUUAACUUAAACUUGAAAAAGAGUUUAUUUUCAUAGUAUUGUAUAUGCUUGGAUAUAAAUAGAAAAGCAAUAAAUUAAAGUGUUCCUUACAGACACAGA